UGGGGAAUCUUGCGCAAUGCGCGAAAGCGUGACGCAGCAACGCCGCGUGAGGGAAGAAGGCCUUCGGUUGUAAACCUCUUUCAGGAGGGACGAAGGUUCAGGCGCGAACAGCGUCCUGGACUGACGGUACCUCCAGAAGAAGCCCCGGCUAACUACGUGCCAGCAGCCGCGGUAAUACGUAGGGGGCUAGCGUUGUCCGGAAUCAUUGGGCGUAAAGCGCGCGUAGGCGGCCCGGUAAGUCCGCUGUAAAAGUCAAAGGCUCAACCUUUGAAUGUCAGUGGAUACUGCCGGGCUAGAGUCCGGAAGAGGCGAGUGGAAUUCCUGGUGUAGCGGUGGAAUGCGCAGAUAUCAGGGGGGAACACCAACGGCGAAGGCAGCUCGCUGGGACGGUACUGACGCUGAGGCGCGAAAGCGUGGGGAGCAAACAGGAUUAGAUACCCUGGUAGUCCACGCCGUAAACGAUGGGGCACUAGGUGUGGGAGGUGUCGACUCCUCCCGUGCCGGCG
rnacentral:rRNA from 1 species